CCAAGGAGAAAGGAUCUCUAUCUGAAGAUUGCUCCUCUUAGAGUCCUUCUGUGAGCCCAGGACAUGGCAGAAAGCAGUGUAAUGCUACAGUUCAGCAGUCAGCACAUCAACUCUCUUGGGAGGAAAUCUUUAGAAGCUCAUAGCAUGAAAGACAGCUCCUAAGUUGCAUGAGAGGGAUUUUAUCUGAAAAAUGAUUAGCAGAACAAUCCAACUGCAGUAUGUGAUUAUUGCACAAUCAAUGUAAGUGGGAGUAUCUUUUUAGAAAACGGUUGACUGCCAUAAGAAGAACCCUGAGGAGGUGUGGUAUAUAAGCCUGAGAUGCAGUUAUGAUUGCAAAACCUUAAGAUCUACAAUGUAGCACUGCAUUCUAACAGGGAAGACUGAAACUCCAAGGAUGUUGAUGGCUGCAUGCCAUAGUGUCUCAGGAUUGGUAAAUACUGAUACAGAAGGAAACAACAAGGCAAAUGAGCUAUCAGUGAAGAACAGGAGUUUCUGUGUGGAUGGAUAUUUAACUGGGGACGAAGAAGGUGCCAUUUUACUUGUUUGUGGAUGCUCCAGGAUACACUGAAAAAAACAAGGUGCUCCCUACUUCACCAGAAUUGGUAUCUACAGAAAUUAGGGUGGGCUUUGUCAUGCUGCUCACUGGAGAGGAAAAUACCACCUUUUUUUGUAACUCAUAUGGCUAUAGUCAAAUGAAGAUGCUUCCUGUAUAGUUUUGACAUUUAGCUUUCCUCUUAAAAACAAAUUCAUGAGCAGUGUCGUCUUUGUUUUUGCUUUUUUAGUGGAAUAAAUUUAUCACAGGAUUGGCAGAUAUAAAAAAAAAAACGACUGGUUUCCUCCAUUGCCCACCAUCACAGAAAUUUUAUAGAGUGGAACAAUCUGAAAACUUGUGGUUUUAGAGCUUAUAUUACAUGUACUCAGAUAAGAACAUGCUGUAUGUACCUUUAUAAGUUAGUGGUCACCUGUGAAAAUAAGAGUGUUGUUCUUUCCAUCUUCCUGUUGCUAUCUCUAUCUGUAGAUGUCAAUGAAAAUUUUUGUCAGGGACUAAGAAUAUUUUUGUCAAUCUGCUUGAAAAUCCAGCAAUAUAUAACCCUUGACACAAAGUGUAUUUGAAGUCUUGCUGUGUUUUUAGUCUAUCUGUGAAAAUACUGUUUUACUUUGUGUCCUUAUCAUUGCAUUGUUUUCUUAUAUAUCUUAUACAGUUUAUCACUUCUAAUGUCCCUCAGGAAAAAGUUCCAGUUCAUGCUUUCACCAGUAAAUCUAUCACAUUGAUUUUUAGAUUUGAUGAUAUUCAAAGUAAUCUUAUGUAGGAUAAGUGAAUCUAUUGAAAGGUAUUAGUAAUAAACCUAUUACUGGGAUAGAAUGACAUAAUUUAGGGUCCAUAAUAAUCAGUUAGAACCACUGUGUAUCACCUUUUGUAAAUGUUCACUAAUUUUCAUAAAAUAAAGGUGUUCUUCACUUCUGAAAACAUGAUCAGUCAUUUGAUAUCAUGUAAAUAUUGCCCGUAUAACUUCUGAGGUAAUUGUCAUGCAAUACUGGCUAUCAACCAGCAUCUGAAGUGACAUCAUAAGGGACAAAAUCACCCAAGAGGGAGUGAGUUGGCUUAAUGACAAUAUCAAGCUUGGUCAAAGUGCAGAAUACUCCUGAAGAUCUUACUGUUUGCUUGCCUGCACCAUAUAAACCUUUCAUCCCUGUUUUUGUAAGAAACAGGGAUGAAGGCUGAUAGGUGAGAAAUCCACAAUAACAAUUAAGAGAGGGCAUUUAUUGCUUGCUUACAGCUCUCUCAUUUUGCUUUGGCACUUAUUAAUCUUCACACUUAAAUACAUGUAAUAUAAGUAAUACUGAUGUAGCUACUUCUGUCCACCACAUCAGCAAUUAUUUCAAAGAGAAUUAAGAUGAGGGUCUUUCAUUUCUGAACUGAAGAAGGUAGAAUAUUGAAAAAUUCAGCAAGCAGUAGUAGUUACUAAUCUGGUUGUAUGUUUUUUCCAUUAUUAUGCCAGAUAUGAGGUUACACUUCUUAUUACCUCCUGUUUUUGACUUCUUUAAAGAGGCUGUUUGAAGAUUUACUCAACAAUGAGAAAUUUUUAUUGUUAAGUAACGUGAAAACAAGGCUGGUAUAAGUAUAAAUUGAUGCUGUUAUGUAGAUACCUUUUCCUAAGGAUUUGACACUGCUUUGCUGUGGUUUGUUGUUUUUUGUUUUACCUGGAGAGUAACUUUUCACUUUUUGCUCUUUUAUUUUUACGUGAGGACGUUUGGCCAGCAGAGGGCACUGCGCUAUAACAUAAUCCGUUUCUGUUUCAAAAUCUGAUAUGCUACUUCAACAAACUUUCAUAUAAAAUUAAUUUAAUAGUGUCUGAAUUUCCACAGUGUUAAUCUGGCAAGCAGCCGUGCUAGGAAAAUAUGCUACAGGUACCUGAACAAGAGUUUAAUGAGAAACCUAAUGAACCUCCAAAAACUGAACUUGGUAUUGUGGUUGUACUUUUUUUUUUUUUGGAAAAGAGAUUGUCAGAAAUAAGUUACAAAGGAUGUACGAAGGAUUUGUUUUUUCCAGACAAAAGAAAGAUUCAUAUUUGUGGCUUUUGUUUAUGCAGAAAUGAUUAAUAUGGAUCUCAGUAGCAGGGUAGAGGAUGGAACUCCAAUUCAUCUAUUCAAUGUUUAUUAUUGAAAGGAUCAGAAGAGAAGGGCUGGGUUUGUUGUCUUUGAUAUUGGCAUGUUUUGUCUGUGUGCAUCAGGAUUAAGCUAGUAAAGGGGAGAAUCACUUUAUAAUGGCUUUGUUUGAGCUUCAUGUUGAGGUUUUGAGUUAAAGAUUCAUAUUACAGUGCUCCAUGACAUUUGACAGUGGUGAAAGCUUGAAGGAUGUAACAUUAAGAGCACGCUCUCUGAUGAUGAUAAUGCUGUACAAUCUUUCUUACCAGAUCACUUCACUUCAUGUUCUUAUUGUUACAAAAAAUGAAAUAAAGCAAGACAUUCCUCUCUCUCUCUCUCCCUCUCUAUUUUUCUCCCUGCUAUCUUCCCCAAAAAGUGGAAACACAGAAUUGCAAUCAUCAUCAGAAGUGUGGCUUUGUUCUUUACUGGAAAAAAGUAAGAGAUAAAAGAGCAUAGAAUUUCUCCUGACCUUGGUUUUAUGGCUUUGUAACAGUUUCAACUGUAAUGCUUUUUGUGUUGAGACCAAGUUUUAUGCAUAUGGAGCAUGUGUGUAAUUGUAUUAUAGUAACAAGCACAUGUCUCUUGCAUCCAUUAUGUUCAUUUAUAUAAAGUACAUUGAGGGAAAGGAAAAUCACAAUGACAAGACUUCAAGAUAUCUGCAUCUAAAUUGCAUAAGUGAUUCCUGAUUUGAUCUAAAUCUAUCCACAAGCCAUAUCACUGUAUGUUUUAUAUUGGUAGCAUUCAACAGAAAAAGUGUUUUAGAAACUAUACAUGCCAGUUGUCCUUCCUUUUUACUUCUGCAGUGUCUUUCUUGGACUAUUCCUUUGGCAGAAUGCAAGGCAGCCCUACUAUCACAUCAGAAGCCCAAACCCACUGGUGGGCUUCACAAGCGAUCAGAGGGAAAGAGUGCUGGAGUACUUGAAGGAAUGAAGCCAGCACUUAUUUUAGUAGGAGUUCAGGAUGUGGCUGUGAAGGAGAGGGCUGAAAUAAAACCUAACUGGGGCAGAGGUUAUAUUAUCUUGUUAAUAUCUGGGCAUUAUAUAUCAGAAUACUGCUAUUCUUCUGAGCACUGUGUUGACAGCAAAUCCUUGCAAGUCAGAAUCAUGCCUUCCAGUUGAAAGAAUGACUUUUCAUCUCCUCAGCCUGAUUUCAUAAGAAGUUAUAUUGACUAUAUAAAAUGUUGCAUGACAUUAUCUCUAGGGCAGUAUCAAACAGAGAACGAUACAGAAAUUAGAAGUGAAGGUUAAGGGAGAUCACUGUUGCUAACCGAUACGUUAUGAUGAAUGGAUUAGAGGAAGAAGAGAGACAAGGAAAUAAUACUUUAUUGCAGAUGCAGAGAACAGUUGUAUAAUGAGGGAAUGCUAUCCUUCUGUAUUUCAGAAUUAUUUAAAAUAUUAUGAAAGUAAAAUAAAUAAAAUCACUUUCAAAAUAAAUUAAAACAAUGUAUCAACACUAAAAUAAAAUUACUUAAUUUGACUAUGGAUUUUAAUAGUGCAGUUGGAGACAAAAAAUAAUCAGAUUUUGAUUUAUUUCUUUCUAGAAAACAAGUAGACUAUUCACUUACCCUAAGACAUGUGAAUGAUAAUAUUUUAUGUGUUUUUUAAGCAUCAAUUUGACAUUUACUAAGCAGUGUUGCAGGUUUGUCUUAUUUACUAAUUGUUAUAGAAUCUUACUCUGGCAUUGCUAGUAAAGAACUUUCCUUUUGAAAUAAAAAUUGUUAUUUAAUUCAGAUUAUUUUCAUAUACUGUCUUUUGUACUACAUACAACACAGUACACAACAGAGCAAGAUGGAUGCCUACUUUCAAUGCAUUAAAUUAGAG
ensembl:lncRNA